UACGGGGGGGGCUAGCGUUGUUCGGAAUUACUGGGCGUAAAGGGCGCGUAGGCGGCCUACUAAGUCGGACGUGAAAUCCCUCGGCUCAACCGGGGAACUGCGUCCGAUACUGGUGGGCUCGAAUCCGGGAGAGGGAUGUGGAAUUCCAGGUGUAGCGGUGAAAUGCGUAGAUAUCUGGAGGAACACCGGUGGCGAAGGCGGCAUCCUGGACCGGGUAUUGACGCUGAUGCGCGAAAGCCAGGGGAGCAAACGGG
rnacentral:rRNA from 1 species